AUUGAACGCUGGCGGCAGGCCUACACAUGCAAGUCGAGCGGAUGAAGGGAGCUUGCUCCUGGAUUCAGCGGCGGACGGGUGAGUAAUGCCUAGGAAUCUGCCUGGUAGUGGGGGAUAACGUCCGGAAACGGGCGCUAAUACCGCAUACGUCCUGAGGGAGAAAGGGGGGGAUCUUCGGACCUCACGCUAUCAGAUGAGCCUAGGUCGGAUUAGCUAGUUGGUGGGGUAAAGGCCUACCAAGGCGACGAUCCGUAACUGGUCUGAGAGGAUGAUCAGUCACACUGGAACUGAGACACGGUCCAGACUCCUACGGGAGGCAGCAGUGGGGAAUAUUGGACAAUGGGCGAAAGCCUGAUCCAGCCAUGCCGCGUGUGUGAAGAAGGUCUUCGGAUUGUAAAGCACUUUAAGUUGGGAGGAAGGGCAGUAAGUUAAUACCUUGCUGUUUUGACGUUACCAACAGAAUAAGCACCGGCUAACUUCGUG
rnacentral:rRNA from 1 species